rnacentral:piRNA from 1 species
UAAGAUGCCACAACUGGAUCCUUCUGCAAC